UUUGGAUAACUGUGGUAAUCCUAGAGCUAAUACAUGCAACCAAGUCCCGACCAGUCUGACUGGGAAGGACGCUUUUAUUAGAUCAAGACCAAUCGCCCGGUUCGUCCGGGCGUUGCCUUGGUGACUCUUGGUAACACAUCAGAUCGCACGGUCUCAGCACCGGCGACAUAUCCUUCAAAUGCCUGACUUAUCAACUGUCGAUGGUAGACUCUAUGUCUACCAUGGUUAUAACGGGUAACGGGGAAUCAGGGUUCGAUUCCGGAGAGGGAGCCUGAGAAACAGCUACCACAUCCAAGGAAGGCAGCAGGCACGCAAAUUACCCACUCCCGGCACGGGGAGGUAGUGACAAAAAAUAACGAUACGGGACUCUUUUGAGGCCCCGUAAUCGGAAUGAGUACACUUUAAAUCCUUUAACAAGGAUCCAUUGAAGGGCAAGUCUGGUGCCAGCAGCCGCGGUAAUUCCAGCUUCAAUAGCGUAUAUUAAAGUUGUUGCGGUUAAAAAGCUCGUAGUUGGUUCUGCGUGCUACGCUGUCGGUUCGCCGCCUGCCGGUGUAACUGGCAUGCCGUGGCAUGUCCUGCCGGUGGCGUGCGGGAGCCUUGCCAGGUGCCGGCCCGGGUUUCAUCGCUCGGUGUCCGGAGGCCGGAGGACCCACCCGUGCGCCUACUCUAUCCUACCUAGGUGCUCUUCACCGAGUGUCGAGGUAGGCCGGUACGUUUACUUUGAACAAAUUAGAGUGCUCAAAGCACGCUAAAAUCUCUGCCUGAAUAGUGGUGCAUGGAAUAAUAAAACAGGACCUUGGUUCUAUUUUGUUGGUUCUUAGGAACACAAGGUAAUGAUCAACACGGACAGGCGGGGGCAUUCGUAUUGCGUCCUCCGAUGAGACGGGGCCGGGAAACCAAAGCUUUUGGGUUCCGGGGGAAGUAUGGUUGCAAAGCUGAAACUUAAAGGAAUUGACGGAAGGGCACCACCAGGAGUGGAGCCUGCGGCUUAAUUUGACUCAACACGGGAAACCUCACCAGGUCAGGACAUUGUAAGGAUUGACAGAUUGAUAGCUCUUUCUUGAUUCAGUGGGUAGUGGUGCAUGGCCGUUCUUAGUUGGUGGAUCGAUUUGUCUGGUUAAUUCCGAUAACGAACGAGACUCUAGCCUAUUAACUAGACGGAUCCAGAGCCCUCGUCUUUGGCGAAAAUGACUCUUCUUAAGGGGACAGGCGGCUUAUAGUCGCACGAGAUUGAGCAAUAACAGGUCUGUGAUGCCCUUAGAUGUCCUGGGCCGCACGCGCGCUACAAUGAAAGAAUCAGCGUGUGUCUCCCAGCCCGAUAGGGCCGGGUAAUCCGCUGAACCUCUUUCGUGCUUGGGAUUGUGGCUUGCAAUUGUUCUUCAUGAACGAGGAAUUCCCAGUAAGCGCGAGUCAUAAGCUCGCGUUGAUUACGUCCCUGCCCUUUGUACACACCGCCCGUCGCUACUACCGAUUGAAUGAUUUAGUGAGGUCUUCGGACCGGCGGGAAAUCCCUAUCGCUUCGGCGGUAUCGACGAACGCUGGGAAGAUGACCAAACUUGAUCAUUUAGAGGAAGUAAAAGUCGUAACAAGGUUUCC
rnacentral:rRNA from 1 species